UUAAAGAAGAUAGAAGCUGUAGAGCGGUGAUGAAUCCUGCUGGAGUUUGUUAUGUUAAAAGACAAUUGUGGGGAAAAGAGCAAAUACACAUUUAUUGCAUUCAUCAGAGUUGCACUGAUCAGUUUUUCUAAGUUUUAACUUUUCUCAUGUGACGAGCUGUGGAGCUUUUGACAUUUUGUUUCUUCUGUUGUAUUGGUAAAUG
rnacentral:misc_RNA from 1 species